GACGAACGCUGGCGGCGUGCUUAACACAUGCAAGUCGAACGGAAAGGCCUGCUUUCCCUUGUGGAUUGCGGGUACUCGAGUGGCGAACGGGUGAGUAACACGUGAGUGAUCUGCCCCCAACUUGGGUAUAAGCCUGGGAAACUGGGUCUAAUUCCCGAUAGGACUGCAGGGUGGUGCCUGUGGUGGAAAACGAUUUUCUAGUGGUUGGGGAUGAGCUCGCGGCCUAUCAGCUUGUUGGUGGGGUAAUGGCCUACCAAGGCGGCGACGGGUAGCCGGCCUGAGAGGGUGGACGGCGACAGUGGGACUGAGAUACGGCCCAGACUCCUACGGGAGGCAGCAGUGGGGAAGAGAGCAAAAUGGGCGGAAGCCUGAAGCAGCGACGCCGCGUGGGGGAUGACGGCCUGCGGGUGGUAAACUCCUUUCGACCGCGAGGAAGCCACCUGGUUGGAAGGGUGGUGACGGUAGUGGUAGAAGAAGCACCGGCUAACUACGUG
rnacentral:rRNA from 1 species